rnacentral:rRNA from 1 species
UCUGGUUGAUCCUGCCAGUAGUCAUAUGCUUGUCUCAAAGAUUAAGCCAUGCAUGUCUAAGUACAAGCUCGUCCCGAGCGAAACUGCGGAUGGCUCAUUAAAUCAGUUAUGGUUCAUUGGAUCGAGUCCCCCGACAUGGAUAACUGUGGUAAUUCUAGAGCUAAUACAUGCGUCCAAGCGCCGACUUCCAGAAGGCGUGCUUUUAUUAGGAACAAGACCAGCCCGGCCUCGGCCGGCAACACUGGUGAACUCUGGAUAACACAGCCGAUCGCACGGUCUUUGCACCGGCGACGGAUCCUUCGAAUGUCUGCCCUAUCAACUUUCGAUGGUACGUUAUGCGCCUACCAUGGUCGUCACGGGUAACGGAGAAUCAGGGUUCGAUUCCGGAGAGGGAGCCUGAGAAACGGCUACCACAUCCAAGGAAGGCAGCAGGCGCGCAAAUUACCCACUCCCGACACGGGGAGGUAGUGACGAAAAAUAACAAUACAGGACUCUUUCGAGGCCCUGUAAUUGGAAUGAGUACACUUUAAAUCCUUUAACGAGGAUCCACUGGAGGGCAAGUCUGGUCCCCCGU